CACAGAGAGAAAGUUUGAGGCAGACAAUGAUAUGACGGAGAGGACGCUGCCCUUCCUUCCCAGGGGUAAAUAACGACUAACUGUAUCUUCGCACUCAGUAACGGAGGAACCACGAACCGCCAUGGAACAGCUCAGUCCAAUAGGGUAUGCUGGCGCUGCAGUACUUCAGGUUAUAUUCGGCCUCCCUCUGACUGUUCUACAAUUAAUAUUCGGGCCUUUGAAACAGCGCCACUACAUGCAAAGGGUUCACAGCAGGGCUUAUACCCUUUACAAUGCGGCUUUUAAGAGGCGAUGAAGUCAAAUGGUAUUUUGAUUCAUGCUGAAGGAAGGAAAAAAUGGCGCCACGUGCUCAUCAAACACGAAGUUUAAAUAUUGUUUAUUCCAGUGCCAUGGCUUUGUAUUUUCAUUUAUUUAUGUAUGGGUGUAUUAAUUAAUUUAUUUAUUAACUCGUUUACAUGUCUACUUGUUUAUCUUUAAAAGGAAUUUUAAUAGUGUGUGUCUAUGUCUGCCUGCUUAUCCGAAAAGUAGACACAUCUAUUGUAAUGUACCAAUGGAUAUGAUGAGUAAAUAUUUUCAAAACUGUAGGAUUAUAAUGAGAAAGUACAGUCAAUUUUCAUAUAAUAAAUAGAUAAAUAAUUUGUAUUUGUGUACAAUUUUCCACUAUGUAAUCCUUUGCAUUGUGAAUGGUUUAAGCAAAAUAUGUACUACAUAUGUGUUUAUGGAUGCGUUAUACGCUUUGUAUUUUAUUCUAUGUUAAUUUUGGAGUAUAGCCUGUCUGAGGCUUGUAUUUGCUUGUCAAUAAAAUUUUAUUAUUAA